GGAAGUAAAAGUCGUAACAAGGUAGCCGUUGGUGAACCAGCGGAGGGAUCAUUACCGAGUUUACAACUCCCAAACCCCUGUGAACAUACCUAUACGUUGCCUCGGCGGAUCAGCCCGCGCCCCGUAAAACGGGACGGCCCGCCCGAGGACCCUAAACUCUGUUUUUAGUGGAACUUCUGAGUAAAACAAACAAAUAAAUCAAAACUUUCAACAACGGAUCUCUUGGUUCUGGCAUCGAUGAAGAACGCAGCAAAAUGCGAUAAGUAAUGUGAAUUGCAGAAUUCAGUGAAUCAUCGAAUCUUUGAACGCACAUUGCGCCCGCCAGUAUUCUGGCGGGCAUGCCUGUUCGAGCGUCAUUUCAACCCUCAAGCUCUGCUUGGUGUUGGGACUCGCGGUAACCCGCGUUCCCCAAAUCGAUUGGCGGUCACGUCGAGCUUCCAUAGCGUAGUAAUCAUACACCUCGUUACUGGUAAUCGUCGCGGCCACGCCGUAAAACCCCAACUUCUGAAUGUUGACCUCGGAUCAGGUAGGAAUACCCGCUGAACUUAAGCAUAUCAAUAAGCGGAGGA
rnacentral:rRNA from 1 species